UACGGAGGGGGCUAGCGUUUUUCGGAAUUACUGGGCGUAAAGCGCGUGUAGGCGGGUCCUUAAGUCGGGGGUGAAAGCCCGGGGCUCAACCUCGGAACUGCCUUCGAUACUGAGGACCUGGAGUCUGGGAGAGGUGAGCGGAAUUCCGAGUGUAGAGGUGAAAUUCGUAGAUAUUCGGAGGGACACCAGAGGCGAAGGCGGCUCACUGGACCAGUACUGACGCUGAGACGCGAAAGCGUGGGGAGCAAACAGG
rnacentral:rRNA from 1 species